AUGACUCUGCAGCUCUGGGGCAACCCCCUCCCGCAACGGGGCAGAGCCGUCGGAGCGGGAGCCGGCGUGAGGGAAUUCCCCGGGCGGCCCUGCUCUACCACCUGCCCCGCGGACCUAUUCUCCCAGUCCGAACCGUCUACUGCCUGGCGCCUGCCUGCUCGCGGAGCUCAGCGCCCCCUCCCCCCGCGCGGACCAGACCCACGGCACCAGCCACGACAGCAAGCAACUCGGGCACCGCCGCACGCCCGCAGUCGGCACGGGGUACUCAAAAGCUCCGAGACAGGCGCCUCCUCCCUCCGGCGCUGCAGACAAAGCCCGGACGGCGGUAGCACAUGGGCGAGAGGAAAAAGCGGAGGCGGCGCCGGGGGCCGCGGCCUAGUCUCAGGCAGCACCAGUCAACGUGCUCCUCUCCCCCUUGGAAUCCAUUUUCCAGAAAAGCCGGUUUCUCCCUCCCCGCGCCGCCCUCUCCUUCCUUCCCUCCCCCCCCCACAAUGUCGCCGCGCCUUAGAGGCUAGUGCCCCCCCUCCCAACCCGGCAGGGCCCCGUGGUCGUUACCUCCCCGUUGGGCUGCCGCGGGUAAAUCCUGUCCGAGGGGAUCGGGUUGCGGGAAUCGCGUGCUCGCUGCUCCCUGUGUCCGGCGCGAGUGGAGCUGUUGUAAAAUGGCGGCCGAAGCUCACGCCGCUGGCAGCAAACCCGAUCCAGUUCCACUCGCCUCCGAGCGCGCUCCCGGUGCGCGCGCGCCUCCGCGUGACCCCCCCCUCCCUCGCGCGUCCGGCUUUCCCUUCACACACACAGGUUCCAGCCUUCCUCCUCCCCCCCCUCCCCAACACCCUAGUAACCUCUUCUACCCUAUUCUCCCCGGCUCGACUUCUCUGCUACCCUUCCCACUCAAUACUACUACCCAAACUCUCAAGCUCCGCGAGACGACCUCUGCCUCUUGCUUUCUUUCCUCCCUAUUUCCCACUAGCUCUUUCUCCUCGAGAGGGUUUCUGCCCCUCUCUUUCUCUCUCCCGCGCUGACGUGAGACGGCGACGACUACGCCGGGUCGCGCGCCCGUGA
rnacentral:lncRNA from 1 species